rnacentral:rRNA from 1 species
AUUGAACGCUGGCGGCAGGCCUAACACAUGCAAGUCGAACGGUAGCACAGAGAGCUUGCUCUCGGGUGACGAGUGGCGGACGGGUGAGUAACGUCUGGGAAACUGCCCGAUGGAGGGGGAUAACUACUGGAAACGGUAGCUAAUACCGCAUAGCGUCGCAAGACCAAAGUGGGGGACCUUCGGGCCUCACACCAUCGGAUGUGCCCAGAUGGGAUUAGCUAGUAGGUGGGGUAAUGGCUCACCUCGGCGACGAUCCCUAGCUGGUCUGAGAGGAUGACCAGCCACACUGGAACUGAGACACGGUCCAGACUCCUGCGGGAGGCAGCAGUGGGGAAUAUUGCACAAUGGGCGCAAGCCUGAUGCAGCCAUGCCGCGUGUAUGAAGAAGGCCUUCGGGUUGUAAAGUACUUUCAGCGGGGAGGAAGGCGGUGAAGUUAAUAGCUUCACCGAUUGACGUUACCCGCAGAAGAAGCACCGGCUAACUCCGUGCCAGCCGCCGCCGUAA